GGGCAGCCAUCGCCGAGUCCCCGUACGGCGCGAGCCAGGGGAGCCGGGGACCCAUCAGUCCCUGGGGUGAAUCGGGCGCCCGUGCGUGAGCGAGGGGGCCCGUAGGAGACCUUCCUGCUCCGAACCCGUCAGCUAACCCGGUAGGCGAGAAGGAAGGAAAG
rnacentral:sRNA from 1 species